CUCUCCUUCCAUUUCCGUCUUUCUGCCUCACGCUUGCAGUUAAAGAUUUGAAUUCUUCUCCUCUUUAUCUUUCCUGUAGCUUGCUGCCAUGCCUCUACUCCGCUGUGAUGGAUUUUAAUGCCUCUGGAACCGAAAGCUUGCGGGUAAAGCGGGCAGCACCGUGCCCGUUUCACACCGUCUGCCCAUGGUCCAGAUGAACUCCAGCAAAAGGAUCAGGGAAAAGGUUGGGACUGGCGAGAAAUCACAUCAGUACAGAAACUUGUCCUUAGAGUCCGUCUCACUGGUGGCGUCUAGCUGGACAGCCGGGAACCAACAACUGACCUCCUCCCAACAAAUUGGCUCCUGAGAAAAUGUUGAACACUGAAGACACUCCAUUUGGAGUUGGUUUUCUUCUUGGCAUGACUGGCCUUUGGACAAGGAACUGCCCAUGCCUCAACCAUGUCAAGGUACAUGGUAUCCAGAAAUGG